AGCAUAUCAAUAGCGAGAAAAGAACCAACAGGGAUUGCCUAGUAACGGCGAGUGAAGCGGCAACAGCUCAAAUUUGAAAUCUGGCUCUUUCAGAGUCCGAGUUGUAAUUUGCAGAGGGCGCUUUGGCUUUGGCAGCGGUCCAAGUUCCUUGGAACAGGACGUCACAGAGGGUGAGAAUCCCGUACGUGGUCGCUAGCUAUUGCCGUGUAAAGCCCCUUCGACGAGUCGAGUUGUUUGGGAAUGCAGCUCUAAAUGGGAGGUAAAUUUCUUCUAAAGCUAAAUAUUGGCCAGAGACCGAUAGCGCACAAGUAGAGUGAUCGAAAGAUGAAAAGCACUUUGGAAAGAGAGUCAAACAGCACGUGAAAUUGUUGAAAGGGAAGCGCUUGCAGCCAGACUUGCUUGCAGUUGCUCAUCCGGGCUUUUGCCCGGUGCACUCUUCUGCAGGCAGGCCAGCAUCAGUUUGGGCGGUGGGAUAAAGGUCUCUGUCACGUACCUCUCUUCGGGGAGGCCUUAUAGGGGAGGCGACAUACCACCAGCCUGGACUGAGGUCCGCGCAUCUGCUAGGAUGCUGGCGUAAUGGCUGUAAGCGGCCCGUCUUGAAACACGGACCAAGGAGUCUAACAUCUAUGCGAGUGUUUGGGUGUCAAGCCCGAGCGCGUAAUGAAAGUGAACGGAGGUGGGAACCCGCAAGGGCGCACCAUCGACCGAUCCUGAAGUUUACGGAAGGAUUUGAGUAAGAGCAUGGCUGUUGGGACCCGAAAGAUGGUGAACUAUGCUUGAAUAGGGUGAAGCCAGAGGAAACUCUGGUGGAGGCUCGCAGCGGUUCUGACGUGCAAAUCGAUCGUCAAAUUUGGGCAUAGGGGCGAAAGACUAAUCGAACUAUCUAGUAGCUGGCUCUGCGA
rnacentral:rRNA from 1 species